rnacentral:lncRNA from 1 species
AGGUGUGGAAAUGAGUAACAAUAGACUCUAGCAGUGUUAUAAAACUUGAUUGCUGCAAAUGAAUGUUAGAUCACCCUUUUGUAAGUCAUACUUGAUGACAGAUUUCAUUGGGAUGACAAGCUGGCAAAUGAUUUGGAUGAAAUCCUAGUGCAGUCAUGACCAUCUCAUAAAAUGAUUGAUAGGAAUUGGCCAUCAAAAGCAAGAAGUAAAACAUUUCCUUUGGUCAUUUAUUUCUUUACCUUGGUGUGCAG